rnacentral:sRNA from 1 species
UCUGUCGCGAACGCAUUGUGGAUUGUCAAGUAUUACUCAAGUCAGUCUUUUGGAUAAGUCUGGCCUUACCAAGGCAGUGAAGGAGAGUACAAUUACAUUGCAGCAGGCAGAGUAUGAAUUUCUGUCCUUUGUACGACAGCAGACUCCUCCAGGGCUCUGUCCACUUGCAGGAAAUUCAGUUCAUGAAGAUAAGAAGUUUCUUGACAAAUACAUGCCCCAGUUCAUGAAACAUCUUCAUUAUAGAAUAAUUGAUGUGAGCACUGUUAAAGAACUGUGCAGACGCUGGUAUCCUGAAGAAUAUGAAUUUGCACCAAAGAAGGCUGCUUCUCAUAGGGCACUUGAUGACAUUAGUGAAAGCAUCAAAGAGCUUCAGUUUUACCGAAAUAACAUCUUCAAGAAAAAAAUAGAUGAAAAGAAGAGGAAAAUUAUAGAAAAUGGGGAAAAUGAGAAGACCGUGAGUUGAUGCCAGUUAUCAUGCUGCCACUACAUAGUUAUCUGGAGGCAACUUCUGGUGGUUUUUUUUUCUCACGCUGAUGGCUUGGCAGAGCACCUUCGGUUAACUUGCAUCUCCAGAUUGAUUACUCAAGCAGACAGCACACGAAAUACUAUUUUUCUCCUAAUAUGCUGUUUCCAUUAUGACACAGCAGCUCCUUUGUAAGUACCAGGUCAUGUCCAUCCCUUGGUACAUAUAUGCAUUUGCUUUUAAACCAUUUCUUUUGUUUAAAUAAAUAAAUAAGUAAAUAAAGCUAGUUC